rnacentral:misc_RNA from 1 species
UGGAUAUUUAUUAAAUUGAUUUUGAUGAAUAGUUUUAUGUAUGUAAUUAAUUGAUAAAACCUAUGCCCUGAAAGAUACAGAAAUAUUCAUGUAUCCAGAAUCAUGUCACAACGUAACCUUUUUUUUUUAUUUCAAAAAAACAUUUUGUCAAUCGAGUACAUCUUAUUUUGUUCUGAUGGAUCUCUUGAAUUUUUUUUUUUUGCUAAUCAUGUGCAAUAUAUGCAUGACCUCUUACCAGCAACAACUAUUCAUCCAGUUCAGACAAAAUGUGCAUAUCUUAGUGUACAUCAUUUUCAUUCCAGUUGAUUAUCUGUUAAUUUGAGAGAAAUCCUGCAAAAUCUUUCAGAGGCAUUAUUUACGGUACCUUUGUAGCCCUGUGUAGUCAUGUGACCUUCUCUUUCAAUGGUUAUCUACAUGUACGUAGGAAACAAACCAGUCUCUUUUAGUAUCGCAGUUCAUGCAGAAAAUCAAACAUUUGCAGUCAGAAUUAUUAAAUUUUUUUUUACGUAUAUUAUUUCAUGAUAAUUAAAUCAUACUUUUGUCAUAUGAAAUUUGAUUUCAUUCAUUUACAGCUCUUGUGUAUUAUUAAUGAAAUAUGCACACAAAGCUUCAUAUCUGAAGAUCUAAAAUGUUAUACUUGUACUAUGUGCUACAGUGGUGUUACCGGUUACUUUAAAGAGAUCUGGUUAAAUAAAUUUUUAUUAAAUGGU